UACAGAGGGGGCAAGCGUUGUUCGGAAUUACUGGGCGUAAAGGGCGCGUAGGCGGCCUGUUAAGUCGAACGUGAAAUCCCCGGGCUCAACCCGGGAACUGCGUCCGAUACUGGCAGGCUUGAAUCCGGGAGAGGGAUGCGGAACUGCGAGUGUAGAGGUGAAAUUCGUAGAUAUUCGCAAGAACACCAGUGGCGAAGGCGGCUCACUGGCCCGGUACUGACGCUGAGGUGCGAAAGCGUGGGGAGCAAACAGG
rnacentral:rRNA from 1 species